CAUGAAGCUGGAAUUGCUAGUAAUGGCAGGUCAGCAUACUGCCGUGAAUACGUUCCCGGGCCUUGUACACACCGCCCGUCACACCAUGAGAGUUGGGAAUACCCGAAGCCUGUGAGCUAACUGUAAAGAGGCAGCAGUCGAAGGUAGAAUCAAUGAUUGGGGUGAAGUCGUAACAAGGUACC
rnacentral:rRNA from 1 species